GGCUCCAUAGCUCAGUGGACAGAGUGCUGGUCUCUGAAACCAGAGGUCGCGAGUUCGAUUCUCACUAGCCC
rnacentral:tRNA from 1 species